CGUUCAGGGGUAAACCUGAGAAACCCGAAAGGUCGAAAGAUGAGAUUCAUUUACUUUUUAUCGUUAAUCAACCAAUUUGUACUAGCAUGUGACAAAAAUUUUUAUUAGGAAUUUAUUUUUAGUAAAAAUAUAUGCACUGCUGUAUAUUGUUAAUUGUAUGAUAACGAGGUAUGCACUUCUCAUCUUGUAGGACGUUGCGACCCAUUAAAUAUUAAUCUAUAGGCAUUGGUGCGUUGAUUAAUGUACAAUAUUAUUUUUUGAUAAUAUUUUGUGUAUGUUAAACGCCUAUGUUUCUUGAUUAAUUGUUUGAUGGUAUUAAUUAUAAAUUGAUAUUGAGCCGCGUUAUUAACGCGUUCAGAUCCACCACGAGUAUAAAUAGGUUUUAAUUUUUAAUUAAAACAUAUUAUAUAUACGGAUUUUAUGCCGUUAUAUGAUACUAUUUAACUGUCAGUAGGUGUAUGAUAAUGAACUGGUUCAUUUUUUUUAUUAAAAAUUUAUCUGUCAGCGACGAUAUAGCUUUGGGUACUUUCAGGACCCGUCUUGAAACACGGACCAAGGAGUCUAGCAUGUACGCAAGUCAUUGGGAAUAAAAUAUUUUUUCAUCGAAAUAUUUAUAAAUUUUAUGAAACCCAAAGGCACAAUGAAAGUAAAUAUUAUUUAUAUUUUUUUAUAAAUGAUAAAAGGAGGAUAUAUUUAUAUUAUGUAUUAAAUAUCGCACUCCUAGGGCGUCUUAUAUUAUUAUAAUUUAGUUUUCGGAUUAUAUUAUAAUAGAGGCGCACCUAGAGCGUACACGCUGGGACCCGAAAGAUGGUGAACUAUGCCUGGUCAGGAUGAAGUCAGGGGAAACCCUGAUGGAGGUCCGUAGCGAUUCUGACGUGCAAAUCGAUCGUCGGAACUGGGUAUAGGGGCGAAAGACUAAUCGAACCAUC
rnacentral:rRNA from 7 species